GAUGAACGCUAGCGGCAGGCCUAAUACAUGCAAGUCGAACGGUAAGUAUUUUAGCAAUAGAAUACGAGAGUGACGUACGGGUGCGUAACACGUAUGCAACCUACCCUUUACAGGAGGAUAGCUCGGGGAAACCCGAAUUAACCCUCCAUGAGAUCACAGUGUGGCAUCACACAGUGAUUAAAACUCCGGUGGUAAAGGAUGGGCACGCGUCUGAUUAGUUAGUUGGCGGGGUAACGGCCCACCAAGACGAUGAUCAGUAGGGGAACUGAGAGGUUGAUCCCCCACACUGGCACUGAGGUACGGGCCAGACUCCUACGGGAGCAGCAGUAGGGAAUAUUGGUCAAUGGAUGGAAGUCUGAACCAGCCAUGCCGCGUGCAGGAAGAAGGCCUUCUGGGUUGUAAACUGCUUUUGCCAGGGGAUAAAAAGCCAUGCGUGGUUAAUUGAAGGUACCUGGUGAAUAAGCCACGGCUAACUACGUGCCAGCAGCCGCGGUAAUACGUA
rnacentral:rRNA from 1 species